GGCACAGUGGUGCAGUGGGUAGCACUGCUGCCUCACAGGAAGAAGGUCCUGGGUUCGGAUCCGGCUUGGGCCU
rnacentral:tRNA from 1 species